GCGCCCGCCUCACCCCACCCCUUUGCCGCCCCGCGGGAAAGAACGCAAGCGAACCGGAGGCGACGGGGGACAAACUAGUAAGCGAGUUGGAGCGUGAGAGACACGCCCCCUGAUGCGAUGGAUUGGAUUGCGUGGAAGAGCGCCGUGACGUAGCGUCUGCGGAUUGGUGCGGCGUGUUCGUUGGGAAAGGCGGAGCCGGCAGCUCAGCGCCGGAGCCACGACACCCGACGCAGGGGCAGGAACGGAGAGCUGGUGCCAGGAAGCCUGUUGAAACUGCGUCAGCGGUGAUUAGCUGCACAGUGAAAGCCCAGCUAGCACGGGCCAGUGGCGCAAUGGAUAACGCGUCUGACUACGGAUCAGAAGAUUCUAGGUUCCCAGAUACAAGACCUGAGAAGGCCCAAAACGUUUGCGGCAGCAGGGAGCCUUGAACCCCCGGAGUGGCUGCCUUGAACACUGUAUGAACCAAUUACUCCAUGAUCAAUUAAUUUCUCCCAUCAUAACGUUGUUCCAACAGAAAUUUGUUGAGAAUAAAAAUAAAGCGGGGGCUGGGGAUGUAGCUCAGUGGUAUAGUGGCUGCUUAAACAUACAUACAAGGCACCAAAAAUAAAUAAAGCAAAUUCCUACUCUGUGA